UUAAGAGUGAGUGAAGGUGUACAUGUAUGUAUGUGUGCAUGUAUGUCCCCCUCUGUUCCCCAGCAGAGGCUCUGCUCUCUAGAGUCCGUCUUCCUCCCUAGUUCCACACCAUCCUUGCUUCUCAGCCUGAAGGAUAGCACCCUACUCAUAACCGGAUCCCAGGAAUUGGUGAUAGCUGCAGGGCCCAUGGACCACCCCAGGAAAGAGAGAAAGAAACUUUGUCCCACCUCUUCUGUGGCUGUCUGUCAUUCCUAGAAGGAUGGUCUCUGGCCUGGCUUUUGAGGAUUCCAGGAGAUGUGGAAACUGAGACUCAGCUGUGUUACUUGCCCCAAGUCACCCAGCCAGCCAGUGGGAGAGUCUUGAUUUGAGCCCUGUCUGGCUGACUCUGGGCUGUGUUUUUACUCCCUGGGUUUAGAAGCGAUCAAGCAUCCUCCAGACCCUCAGCAGCGACUCACGGGAGGGAGGAGGAAGCCAUUGUGCCUCUUGCCAGGGGUCUAGUCGAAGGGGAGCGAUAGCGGGUUCCUCAUACUCGGCUGGCAGUGAGCCAAGGCCAGGUUGGAGGCCCCCAGCCAGGGUAUCCUCCUGCAGCAGUGGGUGGGCAUGGGUCAGCAGGGUUUCAGGCCUGGAGACCACUCAGCAUGUAGGGAGGGGGUGAUGAGGGAAGGGAGGCCCCCACCCUAGGUCAGGUGUAGCCCCUGGCACCCACUUGUUGUGGCAUGGCCCAGGGAUGGUGCAAUACUUUUCACUGCACUUCUCUACCUGGCCCUAGAGAACACCGCCACUGGCCUUGGACAGCAGCCACAGCUGGGGUCCCGUUAGUACAUCUGGGGGCGGGACAGGUGGGCAGAGUCCUGGGUCCAGGAUCCUAGCUCCUCCCUGAGCCGGUCUGUUCUAUGCCUCCCAUCCCUUGACCCUCUCCCCUCCCGACAUCGCAAGGCUGUGAACCCUGCCUCUCCCUCCUGGCUUCCUGCCAUUUCCAAGCCAGGGCAGCGUGGAGCCCAAUGCGAAGCGUGGUACCGGUGAUAUUGGAGGAGCUGGACCCCUGGGGUUAUAACUUCUCCAGCAGCCCCAAGGCCACGUGCAUGUGAUCGGCGGCCUGAACAGCUGUCCUGGUGGCCGCUACCGGCUGUUUGAAGUAGAACAGUAGGUCCUUGGGGCUGGCCAAGCCCCUGGGAAGGCGCUGCUUAAUGCUGCUCAGAGAGAAGGCGGGAGGGCUGGACAAAGGAAGCAGACCGCUCAGCAGAGCCCCAUCCUGGCCGGUGGACAGUGUAAACAGGAGGGAUGGAAGGGAGGCUCUCAACCUACGUGGCAUUCCCUCCAUGGUGCCCAGGGGAAGGGUGAUGGGUGAGAUGACCUUGGUUGGAGCCCAUCCUCCCACAUCAACCCUCCCAGGCUUAUGCAGACCCCAGACCCACAUCUUCUGAGUCUGAUUGUAGGCAGCGUCCACCAGCAACUUGGCCUGUGUUGUACAGCCCUGAAGGACCGAGGUCUCCACCAC